rnacentral:rRNA from 1 species
UACGGGGGGGGCAAGCGUUGUUCGGAAUUACUGGGCGUAAAGGGCGCGUAGGCGGCCUGCUAAGUCGGAUGUGAAAUCCCUCGGCUCAACCGAGGAACUGCAUCCGAUACUGGCGGGCUUGAAUCCGGGAGAGGGAUGUGGAAUUCCAGGUGUAGCGGUGAAAUGCGUAGAGAUCUGCAAGGAUACCCGUGGCGAAGGCGGCCAGCUGGGCCGGUUCUGACGCUGAGGCGCGAAAGCGUGGGGAGCAAACAGG